rnacentral:misc_RNA from 1 species
GAUGAAGAACGUAGCGAAAUGCGAUAAGUAGUGUGAAUUGCAGAAUUCAGUGAAUCAUCGAAUCUUUGAACGCACAUUGCGCCCUUUGGUAUUCCAAAGGGCAUGCCUGUUCGAGCGUCAUUUGUACCCUCAAGCUUUGCUUGGUGUUGAGCGUCUUGUCUCUAGCUUUGCUGGAGACUCGCCUUAAAGUAAUUGGCAGCCGGCCUACUGGUUUCGGAGCGCAGCACAAGUCGCACUCUCUAUCAGCAAAGGUCUAGCAUCCAUUAAGCCUUUUUUUUCAACUUUUGACCUCGGAUCAGGUAGGGAUACCCGCUGAACUUAAGCAUAUCAAUAAGCGGAGGA